rnacentral:rRNA from 1 species
UGUGAGCUCGAUGAGUAGGGCGGGACACGUGGUAUCCUGUCUGAAUAUGGGGGGACCAUCCUCCAAGGCUAAAUACUCCUGACUGACCGAUAGUGAACCAGUACCGUGAGGGAAAGGCGAAAAGAACCCCGGCGAGGGGAGUGAAAAAGAACCUGAAACCGUGUACGUACAAGCAGUGGGAGCACGCUUAGGCGUGUGACUGCGUACCUUUUGUAUAAUGGGUCAGCGACUUAUAUUCUGUAGCAAGGUUAACCGAAUAGGGGAGCCGAAGGGAAACCGAGUCUUAACUGGGCGUUAAGUUGCAGGGUAUAGACCCGAAACCCGGUGAUCUAGCCAUGGGCAGGUUGAAGGUUGGGUAACACUAACUGGAGGACCGAACCGACUAAUGUUGAAAAAUUAGCGGAUGACUUGUGGCUGGGGGUGAAAGGCCAAUCAAACCGGGAGAUAGCUGGUUCUCCCCGAAAGCUAUUUAGGUAGCGCCUCGUGAAUUCAUCUCCGGGGGUAGAGCACUGUUUCGGCAAGGGGGUCAUCCCGACUUACCAACCCGAUGCAAACUGCGAAUACCGGAGAAUGUUAUCACGGGAGACACACGGCGGGUGCUAACGUCCGUCGUGAAGAGGGAAACAACCCAGACCGCCAGCUAAGGUCCCAAAGUCAUGGUUAAGUGGGAAACGAUGUGGGAAGGCCCAGACAGCCAGGAUGUUGGCUUAGAAGCAGCCAUCAUUUAAAGAAAGCGUAAUAGCUCACUGGUCGAGUCGGCCUGCGCGGAAGAUGUAACGGGGCUAAACCAUGCACCGAAGCUGCGGCAGCGACGCUUAUGCGUUGUUGGGUAGGGGAGCGUUCUGUAAGCCUGUGAAGGUGUGCUGUGAGGCAUGCUGGAGGUAUCAGAAGUGCGAAUGCUGACAUAAGUAACGAUAAAGCGGGUGAAAAGCCCGCUCGCCGGAAGACCAAGGGUUCCUGUCCAACGUUAAUCGGGGCAGGGUGAGUCGACCCCUAAGGCGAGGCCGAAAGGCGUAGUCGAUGGGAAACAGGUUAAUAUUCCUGUACUUGGUGUUACUGCGAAGGGGGGACGGAGAAGGCUAUGUUGGCCGGGCGACGGUUGUCCCGGUUUAAGCGUGUAGGCUGGUUUUCCAGGCAAAUCCGGAAAAUCAAGGCUGAGGCGUGAUGACGAGGCACUACGGUGCUGAAGCAACAAAUGCCCUGCUUCCAGGAAAAGCCUCUAAGCAUCAGGUAACAUCAAAUCGUACCCCAAACCGACACAGGUGGUCAGGUAGAGAAUACCAAGGCGCUUGAGAGAACUCGGGUGAAGGAACUAGGCAAAAUGGUGCCGUAACUUCGGGAGAAGGCACGCUGAUAUGUAGGUGAAGUCCCUYGCGGAUGGAGCUGAAAUCAGUCGAAGAUACCAGCUGGCUGCAACUGUUUAUUAAAAACACAGCACUGUGCAAACACGAAAGUGGACGUAUACGGUGUGACGCCUGCCCGGUGCCGGAAGGUUAAUUGAUGGGGUYAGCGCAAGCGAAGCUCUUGAUCGAAGCCCCGGUAAACGGCGGCCGUAACUAUAACGGUCCUAAGGUAGCGAAAUUCCUUGUCGGGUAAGUUCCGACCUGCACGAAUGGCGUAAUGAUGGCCAGGCUGUCUCCACCCGAGACUCAGUGAAAUUGAACUCGCUGUGAAGAUGCAGUGUACCCGCGGCAAGACGGAAAGACCCCGUGAACCUUUACUAUAGCUUGACACUGAACAUUGAGCCUUGAUGUGUAGGAUAGGUGGGAGGCUUGGAAGUGYGGACGCCAGUCUGCAUGGAGCCGACCUUGAAAUACCACCCUUUAAUGUUUGAUGUUCUAACGUUGACCCGUAAUCCGGGUUGCGGACAGUGUCUGGUGGGUAGUUUGACUGGGGCGGUCUCCUCCUAAAGAGUAACGGAGGAGCACGAAGGUUGGCUAAUCCUGGUCGGACAUCAGGAGGUUAGUGCAAUGGCAUAAGCCAGCUUGACUGCGAGCGUGACGGCGCGAGCAGGUGCGAAAGCAGGUCAUAGUGAUCCGGUGGUUCUGAAUGGAAGGGCCAUCGCUCAACGGAUAAAAGGUACUCCGGGGAUAACAGGCUGAUACCGCCCAAGAGUUCAUAUCGACGGCGGUGUUUGGCACCUCGAUGUCGGCUCAUCACAUCCUGGGGCUGAAGUAGGUCCCAAGGGUAUGGCUGUUCGCCAUUUAAAGUGGUACGCGAGCUGGGUUUAGAACGUCGUGAGACAGUUCGGUCCCUAUCUGCCGUGGGCGCUGGAGAACUGAGGGGGGCUGCUCCUAGUACGAGAGGACCGGAGUGGACGCAUCACUGGUGUUCGGGUUGUCAUGCCAAUGGCACUGCCCGGUAGCUAAAUGCGGAAGAGAUAAGUGCUGAAAGCAUCUAAGCACGAAACUUGCCCCGAGAUGAGUUCUCCCUGACUCCUUGAGAGUCCUGAAGGAACGUUGAAGACGACGACGUUGAUAGGCCGGGUGUGUAAGCGCAGCGAUGCGUUGAGCUAACCGGUACUAAUGAACCGUGAGGCUUAACCUUACAACGCCGAAGMUGUU